rnacentral:rRNA from 1 species
AGCUCCAAUAGCGUAUAUUAAAGUUGUUGCAGUUAAAAGCUCGUAGUUGGAUGUCUGAUGCUGUGGUGUGGUCCGUCGCGAGACGAGCACUGCGCUGUGGUGUCUUCCUCUCGAAUGCUGCGUGUGCUCUUAACUGAGUGUGCGUGGGGUUUGGGAUCUUUACUUUGAAAAAUUAGAGUGUUCAAAGCAGGCGAUUGCUUGAAUAUAUUAGCAUGGAAUAAUGGAAUAGGACUUGGGUUCUAUUUUGUUGGUUUCUAGGACUUAGGUAAUGAUUAAUAGGGAUAGUUGGGGGCAUUCGUAUUUAAUU